GCGCGCGCGGAUUGGGCUCCUGGGGUUGUGCGCGACGCCGGCGGCCGCACUCCCUCCAGCGCCCGGAGGCUGCCCCUGUUCCCGCCCACUCACCGAGAGGGAAACUGAGGCGCGCCUCAGUUUCCAUGUUGGAGGGGACCACACGGCAAGGAACUGAAUGUUGCCAACACUUAUGGAGUGAGCUCAGACACAGAUCCCUCCCCAGCCGAGCCUGUGAAUGAGACCACAGCCCAGGUUGACAGCCCACGAGAGACCCUGAGCUGGAGGGAGCCACGCCCAGAUUCCUGCCCCCCACCGCGAUGUGGCCCACGUACAGGCCUGAGGGGACCCCUCAUCUUGAUUUUGACUUGCUUUUCCCUGAUGACUCGUGACGCUGAGCUUCGCCUCCCUUACCUCGUAUGCAUACUUGGCAAGUACGUUCGCAUGCUUGGCCAGCUGUACUUCUUUCUUGAAAAAAAUGUCUAUUCAGACCUCCUGCCCACUUUUAAAUGAGAUUUCUGUUUUGUGCUGUUGGGUUGCAUGAAUGAGCUAUCCCUGUUUUUAAAAGACAGAUGGUAAUCUUCCACA